AGCUCCAUCAGUGUAUAUUAAAGUUGUUGCGGUUAAAAAGCUCGUAGUUGGAUUUAGGAUAGAGGAAAAUCAAGAUCGAUCGAAAUGAUUUGAUCCGAUGGUCCCGUCCAUAAUUUUAGAGUAAUAGGCUCUUGGAUUUUUACGAAUUCAGGAUGUUUUUCUAUUCUCUAUCAUUUACUUUGAUAAAAUCAGAGUGUUCAAAGCAGGCGUCAACUUGCCUUGAAUGUUGCCGCAAGGGAUAAUAGAAUAUGACUUUGGUCUUAUUUUGUUGGUUUCUAGGGCUAAAGUAAUGACUAAUAGGGACAGUUGGGGGCGCUCGUAUUGAGUUGUCAGAGGUGAAAUUCUAGGAUUUACUCAAGACGAACUAAUGCGAAAGCAUUCGCCAAGGAUGUUUUCAUUA
rnacentral:rRNA from 1 species